UCUUCGUGCCUUUGGUGAGUCUCAGAAUAGGAAUUUCACUUUUGGAUCUUUUGAAAGUAACGUAAUUUAAAGUCUCCAAAGUGUCCUUGUAUUAGCUAGAUCCUUUCUACAUCCUGAUGAUUUGUAUGGAUGGGUGGUGGCUGCUUUUGGAGGUCGUUUCUUCAAGAACAUUAGAAGCUUGAAUUGGGAGGCUCUUGAUAUGAACUAGAGUCUUUUACUUAGUUUUGUUCUGCAGAAAAUUUAU